rnacentral:rRNA from 1 species
UACGUAGGUGGCAAGCGUUGUCCGGAUUUACUGGGCGUAAAGAGCGCGCAGGCGGCCAAGUCAGUCGGAUGUGAAAGCCCCCGGCUUAACUGGGGAGGGUCAUUCGAUACUGCUCGGCUCGAAGACAGGAGAGGGAAGUGGAAUUCCCGGUGUAGUGGUGAAAUGCGUAGAUAUCGGGAGGAACACCAGUGGCGAAGGCGACUUUCUGGCAUGUUCUUGACGCUGAGGCGCGAAAGCUAGGGGAGCAAACGGG